GAUAAACGCUGGCGGCGUGCCUAAUACAUGCAAGUCGAACGAAGAGUUGUAGCAAUACGGCUCUUAGUGGCGAAUGGGUGAGUAACGCGUUGGUGACCUGCCCCAAAGAGAGGGAUAACAGUUCGAAAGGACUGCUAAUACCCCAUGUGGUUGCAAGGAUUAGAGGCCUUGCAUCUAAAGGAGCAAUCCGCUUUGGGACGGGCCUGCGUCCCAUCAGCUCGUUGGUAGGGUAACGGCCUACCAAGGCUACGACGGGUAGGGGGCCUGAGAGGGGGGCCCCCCACACUGGCACUGAAACACGGGGCAGACACCGACGGGUGGCAGCAGUAGGGAAUAUUAGAUAAUGGGCGAAAGCCUGAUCUAGCAACGCCGCGUGCACGAUGAAGGCCUUCGGGUUGUAAAGUGCUUUUCGGGGAGAUGAGGAAGGACAGUAUCUCCGGAAUAAGGAUCGGCUAACUACGUGCCAGCAGCCGCAGUAACAC
rnacentral:rRNA from 1 species